AGAGUUUGAUCCUGGCUCAGGGUGAACGCUGGCGGCGGGCUUAAUGCAUGCAAGUCGAGCGUGCCUGUGACUUCGGUCACAAUAGGAAAGCGGCAGACGGCUGAGUAACGCGUGAGUAACUUGCCCUUUGGGGGGGUAUAGCCUUGUGAAAACGAGGAUAAUCCCGCAUAAGAUCCCCAAGCCCUGGUUUGGGGAUGAAAGCCUUCGGGCGCCAGAGGAGAGGCUCGCGUCCUAUCAGCUAGUUGGAGAGGUAACGGCUCACCAAGGCAUCGACGGGUAGCUGGUCUGAGAGGAUGAUCAGCCACACUGGGACUGAGACACGGCCCAUACUCCUACGGGAGGCAGCAGUGGGGAAUAUUGCACAAUGGGCGAAAGCCCGAUGCAGCGACGCCGCGUGCGGGAAGAAGGCCCUAGGGUUGUAAACCGCUUUCAGUAGGGAAGAAAAUGACGGUACCUACAGAAGAAGGUGCGGCCAACUACGUGCCAGCAGCCGCGGUGACACGUAGGCACCAAGCGUUAUCCGGAUUUAUUGGGCGUAAAGAGCUCGUAGGCGGCUCGGUAAGUCGGGUGUGAAAACUCUGGGCUCAACCCAGAGAGGCCACCCGAUACUGCUGUGGCUAGAGUACGGUAGGGGAGCGGGGAAUUCCUGGUGUAGCGGUGAAAUGCGCAGAUAUCAGGAGGAACACCAGCGGCGAAGGCGCCGCUCUGGGCCGUUACUGACGCUGAGGAGCGAAGCAUGGGUAGCAAACAGGAUUAGAUACCUCUGGUAGUCCAUGCCGUAAACGUUGGGCACUAAGUGUGGGUCUCAACACAACGAGAAUCUGCGCCGUCGCUAACGCAUUAAGAUGCCCCGCCUGGGGGAGUACGGUCGCAGACUAAAACUCAAGGGAUUUGACGCGGGGCCCGCACAAGCGGGU
rnacentral:rRNA from 1 species